rnacentral:pre_miRNA from 1 species
UUUUUAUUGGAUUAUGACUGUCACGUGUUAUGUUCUGAUUGGUUAAUGAAAACAACAAUGCAUUUCAUCUUUCAUGGAGUUGACAUCCAAUCAGAACAUGACAAGUGACAGUCAUCAUUC